CCUACGGGUGGCAGCAGUGGGGAAUAUUGGACAAUGGGGGGAACCCUGAUCCAGCCAUGCCGCGUGUGUGAAGAAGGCCCUCGGGUUGUAAAGCACUUUCAGUGAGGAAGAACGCCUGGUGGUUAAUACCCAUCAGGAAAGACAUCACUCACAGAAGAAGCACCGGCUAACUCCGUGCCAGCAGCCGCGGUAAUACGGAGGGUGCGAGCGUUAAUCGGAAUUACUGGGCGUAAAGCGCGCGUAGGUGGCUUGAUAAGCCGGUUGUGAAAGCCCCGGGCUCAACCUGGGAACGGCAUCCGGAACUGUCAAGCUAGAGUGCAGGAGAGGAAGGUAGAAUUCCCGGUGUAGAGGUGAAAUGCGUAGAGAUCGGGAGGAAUACCAGUGGCGAAGGCGGCCUUCUGGACUGACACUGACACUGAGGUGCGAAAGCGUGGGUAGCAAACAGGAUUAGAUACCCGAGUAGUC
rnacentral:rRNA from 1 species